rnacentral:rRNA from 1 species
GUAGGUGGCAAGCGUUGUCCGGAAUUAUUGGGCGUAAAGCGCGCGCAGGCGGUCCUUUAAGUCUGAUGUGAAAGCCCACGGGCUCAACCGUGGAGGGUCAUUGGAAACUGGGGGACUUGAGUACAGAAGAGGAAAGCGGAAUUCCAAGUGUAGCGGUGAAAUGCGUAGAGAUUUGGAGGAACACCAGUGGCGAAGGCGGCUUUCUGGUCUGUAACUGACGCUGAGGCGCGAAAGCGUGGGGAGCAAACAGGAUUAGAUACCCUGGUAGUCCACGCCAUAAACGAUGAGUGCUAAGUGUUAGGGGGUUUCCGCCCCUUAGUGCUGCAGCUAACGCAUUAAGCACUCCGCCUGGGGAGUACGGCCGCAAAGGCUG